rnacentral:misc_RNA from 1 species
UGGCUCUCGCAUCGAUGAAGAACGCAGCGAAAUGCGAUAAGUAAUGUGAAUUGCAGAAUUCAGUGAAUCAUCGAAUCUUUGAACGCACCUUGCGCUCCUUGGUAUUCCGAGGAGCAUGCCUGUUUGAGUGUCAUGGUAUUCUCAACUCUCUUGCAUUUGUUUUGUGCAGGUGGGCUUGGACUUGGAGGUUCAUUGCCGGAUUAGGUUUUUCUGUCCUGGCUUCUCCUAAACACAUUAGCUUGAAUGUUUUACCAAGCAUGAUCCAGUGUGAUAAAUGUCUAUGCUGUUUUAUGUUGGUGCUUUCUGACUGAUCAAGCUUCGAACUGUCUCUGUUUAGAGACUUGCUCUGAACAUCUGACCUCAAAUCAGGUAGGACUACCCGCUGA